GUGCUCACUCUAGCAGCACAUACACUAAAAUUGGACCGAUACAGAGAAGAUUAGCAUGGGCUCUGCACAAGGAUGAUAUAUAAAUUUGUGAAGCAUUCCAUUAAAAA